rnacentral:rRNA from 1 species
UUUCUGUGUCCCCAAUGAGGAAGUAAAAGUCGUAACAAGGUUUCCGUAGGUGAACCUGCGGAAGGAUCAUUACCGAGUGUAGGGUUCCUAGCGAGCCCAACCUCCCACCCGUGUUUACUGUACCUUAGUUGCUUCGGCGGGCCCGCCAUUCAUGGCGCCGGGGGCUCUCAGCCCCGGGCCCGCGCCCGCCGGAGACACCACGAACUCUGUCUGAUCUAGUGAAGUCUGAGUUGAUUGUAUCGCAAUCAGUUAAAACUUUCAACAAUGGAUCUCUUGGUUCCGGCAUCGAUGAAGAACGCAGCGAAAUGCGAUAACUAGUGUGAAUUGCAGAAUUCCGUGAAUCAUCGAGUCUUUGAACGCACAUUGCGCCCCCUGGUAUUCCGGGGGGCAUGCCUGUCCGAGCGUCAUUGCUGCCCAUCAAGCACGGCUUGUGUGUUGGGUCGUCGUCCCCUCUCCGGGGGGGACGGGCCCCAAAGGCAGCGGCGGCACCGCGUCCGAUCCUCGAGCGUAUGGGGCUUUGUCACCCGCUCUGUAGGCCCGGCCGGCGCUUGCCGAACGCAAAUCAAUCUUUUCCAGGUGACCUCGGAUCAGUAGGU